UAAAUUUCCUACAGUGGAGUUUGCUCUUCU
rnacentral:piRNA from 1 species